rnacentral:rRNA from 1 species
UAGGGAAUCUUCCACAAUGGACGAAAGUCUGAUGGAGCAACGCCGCGUGAGUGAUGAAGGGUUUCGGCUCGUAAAACUCUGUUGUUGGAGAAGAACGGGUGUCAGAGUAACUGUUGACAUCGUGACGGUAUCCAACCAGAAAGCCACGGCUAACUACGUGCCAGCAGCCGCGGUAAUACGUAGGUGGCAAGCGUUGUCCGGAUUUAUUGGGCGUAAAGCGAGCGCAGGCGGUUUUUUAGGUCUGAUGUGAAAGCCUUCGGCUUAACCGGAGAAGUGCAUCGGAAACCGGGAGACUUGAGUGCAGAAGAGGACAGUGGAACUCCAUGUGUAGCGGUGAAAUGCGUAGAUAUAUGGAAGAACACCAGUGGCGAAGGCGGCUGUCUGGUCUGCAACUGGCGCUGAGGCUCGAAAGCAUGGGUAGCGAACAGGAUUAGAUACCCUGGUAGUCCAUGCCGUAAACGAUGAGUGCUAAGUGUUGGAGGGUUUCCGCCCUUCAGUGCUGCAGCUAACGCAUUAAGCACUCCGCCUGGGGGAGUACGACCGCAAGGUUGAAAC